rnacentral:rRNA from 1 species
UACGUAGGGUGCGAGCGUUGGCCGGAAUUAUUGGGCGUAAAGGGCUCGUAGGCGGUUUGUCGCGUCGGGAGUGAAAUCCACUGGCUUAACUGGUGGCUUGCUUUCGAUACGGGCAGACUGGAGGUAUGCAGGGGAGAACGGAAUUCCUGGUGUAGCGGUGAAAUGCGCAGAUAUCAGGAGGAACACCGGUGGCGAAGGCGGUUCUCUGGGCAUGUCCUGACGCUGAGGAGCGAAAGUGUGGGGAGCGAACAGG